CGCGCCAGCCGCUCGCAACGGGGAAGAGGAACGGGCGGCGCGCGCCCCAGCAACCGUCGCCGCGCGGCCCGCACUGGAGGAGCUGCGGCCCACCUCAGGCGCAGCGCACAGAUUGGGUCCCGCCGGCCUGACUCUGCCCGGCAGCCAGGCUUGCCCGCCCUUGCCCCGCCCAGCAUGUGGUGAUGGACAGACGGGUGGCCCCGCCCUCCAGGCCAAGCUCCGGGAACCAAUCAGAAGGCGGCCCCUCCUCCCGCACGUGGCCCGUGGACGCUGGAGAAGAGCAAGUGCACCUUUUCCUGGCUGGGGCAUUGGUGGGGGUGCCCUGGGACCGGAGCCGGUGGAUGUGACCUUCGCUGGUGCUGUAUACACUGAUUAAACAAACAAACAACUGAACAAAUCAGUCUCAGCCGUGAGGACGAUUUAAAGGAAAACAAAAAGAACAGUACCGGUUGGCGGGGAGGGUCGGGGGUGGCGGGCGCGAAGGACAACGAAAACAACUUGAUCUGAAUUAUCCUGGGGCAGGGAGCCCACAAUUGGAAGAACACAAAACUGGAACGAUAAUCCAGCCUGACCUUCAAGGGUACAGCAAAAGCUGAGGUGCAGAGACUAUCUUCUCCCUGAAACUCGGCUUUCAGGCCCAACCCCGAGCCAAAUUAUGCAGACUGUAAAUUGUUUUACCUUUUUGGACUUUCGCUUCCUUGCCCAUAAUGUUUGAAUUAAAUCUCCAGGGCAAUAGCGGCUUUAAAAUCUUGUGGUUUCUCUAAAUGGAAUUUCACAGAAUCCUUGGUGCCUUCCGGUGUGUGGUGUUUGGGCCAGCGGGUUCCGACCCGCGCUCGCAUUUUGGAGGAUGCCAGAAGCAUUGUCGGCGUGGAAAAACAGCAACUCAAAACUCUAUGAAUUUUCACUCUGGAUCCCACUUUGCAGCUCCAGCUGGUCUCUAGUUUGUGACCCUCCCGCAUCUACGUCCUGCGAGCUGUAACUACAGGUUUGCACCACCACGACUCUAACAAACUUGUGUAACGAACCUAGACCUCUUUCCUCAGCACGACAGCAGCAUCUUCCCCGGACAGAUGGUAACCUUCUUUGCAGUUCUCCACCAUACUGUGAUACAGCAGGAGGACCUUGCCAGUAUGCCAGCACCACACUGCUUACAGCCUCCAACCACCAGGAUCACAAGCAAGAUAAAUCCCCGUCUGAGUGCCAGCCACUCAGUUACUUGGUCUUAAAAACACAAAGUGGGCUGAUGCAGUGCCACUCUCCAGGCUUUCAGUAAUGUUCCUGUCAAGACGCACCAGCCCGGUCCUUGGAGUAGAUUGCCUCCACUAACACAGACCUCAUGUCAAACCUGACCAUGUCUCAAAAGCAAAACAAAUGCUAAGGAGCGGGAACUUUUAGGAAACCAUGUGUCUUGUGAGGGCCGGAAUGAAAUAUUCUAAACCCAUGCGAAAUCCUGGGUGUGAUGACUGAUUUUGGUUGUCAACUUGACACAUCUGGGAAGAGGGAAUUGCUCAUCUCAGACUGACUGGUGGCCGUGUCUGUGAGGCACUUUCUUAAUUUCCAAUUGAUCGAAGAGGAGCUAGACUACUGUGGGCGGUGCCAUCCUUAGGCGGGUAGGACUUGGCUGUACAAGGAAGGUAGCAAACCAGGAGAGGCAAGCCAGUUCAGCAGUGUUCCUCCUUUCUUCCGUGGUCUCUACUUCAGCUCCUGCACUGAGUUCCUGCCUUGGCUUCCCUCAAUGAUAGAUUGUAACCUGUAAGCCAAGUAAACUUUCCUCUCGAAGUUGUGUUGAAUCUCUCUAUUGCCUCUUUGCGUUGACUCUGCACUGUCUCUUUAGAGCCAGUAGCCUUGUUCUUUUGUUUUGUUUUGUUUUGUUAUUCGAGACAGGGUUUCUCUGUGUAG